rnacentral:misc_RNA from 1 species
AAGCAGGAAGAUUAAAAUAUAAAGUUGAAUUUAUAUUUGCACACAAACAAUGAUGUGUCUGCCUUUGUUUUCGUCUUACGCAAAUAAGUAACACGUAUCAAUAACACUACUAAAAAUUCAUUUUAAGACAAAAACAUUGAAUUAUUUACACCACAGCGGAAUUUUAUUGUUUUUGGUCACAAAAAAUGAAGGCGUUUUUGCUAGGAAUAUUACUGAUUAUUACGGCUAACUGUCAGACACCUGGAAAUGACAGUGAAGAGCCGAGACAAGAGCCAAGAUGCUAUUCCAAAUUUGAUUACGAUUACAAGUUACUGCAGAAACUGACAAAGCUAGAAGAGAGGCAAGAAACGAUGCAGGUUCUGUUGAACAGCCAAAGUGGCCUUAUCGAUGAACUAAAAGAGCAACUUAGAGUAUCUUUGUUGCCCCAGUGGGGAGACUGGAGCCCCUGGAGUGACUGUUAUAUGAACAGUACGGGCAAACACGGAGGACGUAUACAAAGUAGAUCAAGGGAAACCAUUUCACAUUCUCCAACGCAGGGACCACAGCAAGAGGCGGAAGAACGACCAUGUAAUGCUGUACAAUUUGCAGGCUGUAUCAAAAGCUACGGAAGCGGAUGAUAAUUUUGGCGUGUACCUAUGACUUCGCAGAUCAAAUUGCGGUAUCUACUUGCACAGCGCUUCUGUCGGCAGAAAAAGUACGUGUAUGCAGUUAGACGAAAAUGCUCUGAUCUUUCUGUCUCGUGUGCAGAAACGUGCAAACAUUUUGGAAAAACAUGUUUCAAUGCGCUACAUGUUUAUCGGAGUUCCACGAUCUUGCCGAGGGAUCAAUAUGGCGCUCUGGGAUUGUAUUUGUACAAAUACAACAGCUGUUCUGGGAAUUACUGCGGUCCUAACUUCUGCUGCUGUCACAAUUAGUAUGAUGUUGUCUUGAGUAGAUACUGACUGAAUAAAUCUACACGCUGCACAUUCUUUACUUUCUUACACACUGUUUGUGUAUUUGAGCUAAAUAGAUAUUAUUCAAAAU